rnacentral:misc_RNA from 1 species
AAGUCGUAACAAGGUUUCCGUAGGUGAACCUGCGGAAGGAUCAUUAACACGUAUCCACGUACCCUCAACACCCCCUCUGUGAACCGGGAACGAACACGUGGUGACUUCGGUCACAAGUUCCGACCCACUUUUUUUUCACCCCAUGUGUGACUCUCCGUUUUGAACCCCCCGAGUGGCCUGAUCCCACGUGUCCCUAGCAAUAGUGGACUCGAACCAUAUGGAUGAUCCCAAUGAGUUUUGUACAGCACAACUCUUAGCAAUGGAUAUCUUGGUUCUC